UCCCAGUAUAACACACCUAUCAAAGCUGAUAUUUACAUACAGGACUGGGCUCGGUUAAAAUCCCAGACUGAGAAAAACCAGGGUCGCAGCAGGCUCGGAUCAGCCAGGAAAAACUCCACUGCCCUAUGUCUUGUUUCCGGGACUUUAUGGCACAGCGGUCUAUCUACACAGACAUGAUGCUCUGGGCUGGAUUGGCGCCCUGUACAGGGUGCUUCUGCCAUGCGCCCAGUGUUUCCUCAUGAAACCGGGUCACCCGCAACCCUGACCAGGAUAAAGCCUUUGAUGAAAAUAAAAGUAAAUGAAAGAAUA